rnacentral:tRNA from 1 species
CGCGGGAUGGAGCAGUUUGGUAGCUCGUCGAGAACUUCAUAACCCGAAGGUCGUCGGUUCAAAUCCGGCUCCCGCAACCA